AUGUCGUCGUCGUCGGGCAUGAAGUUGGGCGGCGCUCCGUCGUGGCUGGGGCCGCUGCUCUGCGCGAGGUUCUUCCAGCGCUGUGCCACGCACCCCAGACUAGCCAAGAAUGAUUGCAACCACUACUGCCUUAGCUGCGCCGGCGAGGAGAACGCCGUCUGCUGCCCCAUGUGCCUCUCCGGCCACCGCGACCACCAUGUCCUCCAGAUACGGCGGUCGUCAUACAAGAACAGCGUGGUGAUCCUGGUGGCGGAGCUGGAGGAGGUUGCGGUUGCGGACAUGUCCCUGGUGCAGCCAUACGUGGUCAACCACGAGAGGGUGAUGUACCUCCACCCGAGGCUGCAGGCGCCGCAGCACGCCAUCAUGUGCUUCAGCCCCGCCGGCGCAUGCCUGAUGUGCGGCCGGAAACUCGUCGACGAAAUCUUCCGCUUCUGCUCCCUCGGCUGCACGCUUGAAGGAAUGGUGUCUGAUCCCAACAUGACAUUCAUUCUUGAUCCGGAAUGCAAGUGGGAAUACUCAGACUCAGACUCAACCGAAGAAGAAGAAGAUGGCGGCCAUCUGCCAGGCCCUAGCAACUCUCAGCCAAUUGGAGGGACUAGUUACGGCCGCCAGCCAAGGAAGGGCGUCUGUGGCCCACCUCAAUGGGCGCCCUUCUACUGA
rnacentral:rRNA from 1 species